GUAGGUGGCAAGCGUUGUCCGGAAUUUAUUGGGGCGUAAAGCGCGCGCAGGCGGUUCUUUAAGUCUGAUGUGAAAGCCCACGGGCUCAACCGGUGGAGGGUCAUUGGAAACUGGAGAACUUGAGUACAGAAGAGGAAAGCGGAAUUCCACGUGUAGCGGUGAAAUGCGUAGAGAUGUGGAGGAACACCAGUGGCGAAGGCGGCUUUCUGGUCUGUAACUGACGCUGAGGCGCGAAAGCGUGGGGAGCAAACAGGAUUAGAUACCCUGGUAGUCCACGCCGUAAACGAUGAGUGCUAAGUGUUAGGGGGUUUCCGCCCCUUAGUGCUGCAGCUAACGCAUUAAGCACUCCGCCUGGGGAGUACGGCCGCAAAGGCUGA
rnacentral:rRNA from 1 species